CCUACGGGUGGCUGCAGUCGAGAAUCAUUCACAAUGGGGGAAACCCUGAUGGUGCGACGCCGCGUGGGGGAAUGAAGGUCUUCGGAUUGUAAACCCCUGUCAUGUGGGAGCAAAUUAAAAAGAUAGUACCACAAGAGGAAGAGACGGCUAACUCUGUGUCAGCAGCCGCGGUAAUACAGAGGUCUCAAGCGUUGUUCGGAAUCACUGGGCGUAAAGCGUGCGUAGGCUGUUUCGUAAGUCGUGUGUGAAAGGCGCGGGCUCAACCCGCGGACGGCACAUGAUACUGCGAGACUAGAGUAAGGGAGGGGGAACCGGAAUUCUCGGUGUAGCAGUGAAAUGCGUAGAUAUCGAGAGGAACACUCGUGGCGAAGGCGGGUUCCUGGACAGUAACUGACGCUGAGGCACGAAGGCCAGGGGAGCGAAAGGGAUUAGAUACCCUUGUAGUC
rnacentral:rRNA from 1 species